GAUGAACGCUGGCGGCGUGCCUAAUACAUGCAAGUCGAGCGAACAGACGAGGAGCUUGCUCCUCUGACGUUAGCGGCGGACGGGUGAGUAACACGUGGAUAACCUACCUAUAAGACUGGGAUAACUUCGGGAAACCGGAGCUAAUACCGGAUAAUAUAUUGAACCGCAUGGUUCAAUAGUGAAAGACGGUUUUGCUGUCACUUAUAGAUGGAUCCGCGCCGCAUUAGCUAGUUGGUAAGGUAACGGCUUACCAAGGCAACGAUGCGUAGCCGACCUGAGAGGGUGAUCCGGCACACUGGAACUGAGACACGGUCCAGACUCCUACGGGAGGCAGCAGUAGGGAAUCUUCCGCAAUGGGCGAAAGCCUGACGGAGCAACGCCGCGUGAGUGAUGAAGGUCUUCGGAUCGUAAAACUCUGUUAUUAGGGAAGAACAAAUGUGUAAGUAACUAUGCACGUCUUGACGGUACCUAAUCAGAAAGCCACGGCUAACUACGUG
rnacentral:rRNA from 1 species